rnacentral:rRNA from 1 species
AGCUCCAAUAGCGUAUAUUAAAGUUGUUGCAGUUAAAAAGCUCGUAGUUGGAUUUCGGAGUGGGCCAGUUGGUCCGCCGCAAGGUGUGUUACUGACUGGUUUGCUCUUCUUCGCAAAGACUGCGUGUGCUCUUCAGUGAGUGUGCGUAGGAUUUACGACGUUUACUUUGAAAAAAUUAGAGUGUUCAAAGCAGGCUAUUGCUUGAAUACAUGAGCAUGGAAUAAUGGAAUAGGACUUUGGUCCCAUUUUGUUGGUUUCUAGGGCCGAAGUAAUGAUUAAGAGGGACAAUUGGGGGCAUCCGUAUUUCGUUGUCAGAGGUGAAAUUCUCAGAUUUGUUAAAGACUAACUUAUGCGAAAGCAUUUGCCAAGGAUGUUUUCA